rnacentral:rRNA from 1 species
UACGAAGGGUGCAAGCGUUAAUCGGAAUUACUGGGCGUAAAGGGUGCGUAGGCGGUUCGUUAAGUCUGUCGUGAAAUCCCCGGGCUCAACCUGGGAAUGGCGAUGGAUACUGGCGAGCUAGAGUGUGUCAGAGGAUGGUGGAAUUCCCGGUGUAGCGGUGAAAUGCGUAGAGAUCGGGAGGAACAUCAGUGGCGAAGGCGGCUACCUGGCCCAUUCUUGACGCUGAGGCGCGAAAGCUAGGGGAGCAAACGGG